UACGGAGGGCGCAAGCGUUGUUCGGAAUUACUGGGCGUAAAGCGCGUGUAGGCGGCCUGACAAGUCGAAUGUGAAAUCCCGGAGCUCAACUCCGGAACUGCAUACGAUACUGUCAGGCUCGAGUCUCGGAGAGGGUGGCGGAAUUUCCGGUGUAGAGGUGAAAUUCGUAGAUAUCGGAAGGAACACCAGUGGCGAAGGCGGCCACCUGGACGAUGACUGACGCUGAGACGCGAAAGCGUGGGGAGCAAACAGG
rnacentral:rRNA from 1 species